AUGGAUUGGAAUCCACGUGUACACUCUUGGAACGUGCGGGGUCUUAAUAACCCUGCUAAAAGGAAUGCGGUUAGGGAUUAUGUAAUAGAUGCGAAGGUGAACUUGGUGUGUCUACUAGAGACGAAGCUAGAUGUAUUUGAUAAAUAUUUGGUGAUGCAAUGCAUUGGGCCAUCUUUUUAUGGCUUUGCUUAUCUCCUGGCGAUCGAUACGAGGGGUGGUAUUUUGCUUGCUUGGGAUAGCUCAUACAUGGAGAUAGAUAAUCUGGCUCGGGACUCAAACUUCCUCACGGGGCGCAUGUGUAACAAAGAUGGAUGGGAUUGGUGGUUAUCCGUGGUUUAUGGUCCCCAAGGGGAUGAGUUGAAGAUCAAUUUUUUGGUGGAGUUGCAACAUAGAAGAGAUGUUUUCCCGGGACCAUGGAUGGUCCUUGGAGACUUCAAUAUGAUCUUAAGAGCGGAGGAGAAGAAUAAUACAAAUCUCAACAGAUCCAUGAUGAGGAGAUUCAAGGCGUUUGUGGAUAACAAUGAGCUUAAAGAACUAUACAUGCAUGGAAGGAGGUUCACGUGGUCAAAUGAGAGGGAGAACGUGGUGAUGACCAAGAUCGAUCGGGUUCUUGUCUCGGUGGAUUGGGAGCUCUACUACCCGGAUGUUCUACUGCAAGCUCUCUCCACUAUCACGCCCCGUUGCACCUCUCCACGGCGGCUCCUUUUUGUGCUAAGAAGAGAUUUAGGUUUGAAUUGUACUGGACGCAGCUUGAGGGGUUUGAGCAAGUAG
rnacentral:rRNA from 1 species